rnacentral:rRNA from 1 species
UACGAGGGGGGCAAGCGUUGUUCGGAAUUAUUGGGCGUAAAGCGUCUGUAGGUGGCUUUUAAGUCCGCCGUCAAAUCCCAGGGCUCAACUCUGGACAGGCGGUGGAAACUACCAAGCUUGAGUACGGUAGAGGCAGAUGGAAUUCCGGGUGUAGCGGUGGAAUGCGUAGAGAUCCGGAAGAACACCGGUGGCGAAGGCGGUCUGCUGGGGUGAGGCUGACGCUGAUGCGCGACAGCGUGGGAGCAAACAGG